CCUACGGGGGGCAGCAGUGGGGAAUAUUGGUCAAUGGGCGCAAGCCUGACCCAGCAACGCCGCGUGAAGGAAGAAGGCUCUCGGGUUGUAAACCUCUUUUUUUAGGGACGUAGCAAGGGACGGUACUUGACGAAUAAGCCACGGCUAACUACGUGCCAGCAGUCGCUGUAAUACGUAGGUGGCAAGCGUUAUCCGGAUUGAGUGGUUGUAAAGGGCGUGUAGGCGGGAAUGCAAGUCAGAUGUGAAAACUAUGGGCUCAACCCAUAGCCUGCAUUUGAAACUGUAUUUCUUGAGUGCUGGAGAGGCAAUCGGAAUUCCGGGUGUAGCGGUGAAAUGCGUAGAUAUACGGAAGAACACCGGUGGCGAAGGCAGAUUACUGGACAGUAACUGACGCUGAGGCGCGAAAGCGUGGGGAGCAAACAGGAUUAGAUACCCCUGUAGUC
rnacentral:rRNA from 1 species